AUAGUUUGUAGCGCGUGUGUGUGUGUGUGUGUGUGUGUGUGUGUGUGUGUGUGUGUGUGUGUGUGUGUGUGUGUGUGUUAACGUGUGUGGUUGUAGGCGAUGACUCCAGUUUAACCAGUGAAUGGGUCUCUCUGGUCUCUUUGAUGAAAGCUUCCUUCUCACUCCUCAAAGGGCCGUUCAGUUUUCUUAAUUAGUUAAUUGGUUGCAUCCGGUGCGUUUCACUUAAAAGGGAACCUGACAUGGACACCUGGCAUUGUAGCGUCUCCCAAACGCGGUUAAAGACUUUUUGAAGUAAAGAGGAGCAUCUCAUCUGAACCUGAUGUCUAUCAUGGAUAUUUAACUGCAGUUCUGUGAGUAUCCCAACUUGACCAUGAAGAUGAACUGCAAACUGUAAGUCAUUAGUUUCUCAUUACUCUUGGGCACAUUGAUGUAUUUUGGCUUCCUGGUGAGUUAACCUGUUAGCUGAAGGUUGAUCUGAGUAUUAAGGAUGUUUCAUUGGUUCAUGGGUUACUUAGGUGUUUGGUUUAUGUUGGUUUUAAUGUUUUUUUAUAAUGGUCACAGGCUCCAAGUUAUUGUUGUAAGCUGGUGUAUUGGGUUGGGUUCUGAUAUCUUCAGUCUUCUUUCCAGCUACUCUCCUGAGCUCUGCAUCUUCAUCACAUGAGUAUUGCUUUAUUUAUGAGGGUGUGGUCUGAGUGAGCAGAGGUGCAUACUGGGAUACAGAGUUGUCUGAAGUCUACAGGUCUGUAGACACGCCCCCGCAGGGGAAACCGUGUGUUUGAGAAACGGUCGUGACAUCAGUUACAUGGACUAGAAUGUUCUUUAAGAUGGAGACAGGGUUUCAGAAGGAGAAACACCAGGGGGAGAUGAGGGGGCUCCUCAUCUCAACGACUAAAACACAACUUCAGUCUGACAGAGAACCAUGGAACACAUUCAACCGUCCCCUCCAGGCAUCGUGACUCCUCAGGAACAGUUUCAUUUCCAAGAAGGUCUUAUUUGGGGCCAUUCCAAGAUGGAUCCUGCUCCUCAAGAGCCACCCCCCUCCACUGGGUGGUCUUAUGAACAGAUGACCUCCUUCCUGUCCUCAGGCUGACUAAAGCUGCACCGCUUGCUGUGAAGGCCCCUCAUUCAGGAAUCCAUUGGACUACAAAGACAUGACUUCAGAGACGUUGAAUCAACCUGGGACACAAUUUGGACGCCAAGCAUUAUCCAUCACCAAUGUGGGACGCCACUGAAGAAUGUUGUACAUAAUUUACGUCUCUGGAGACAUUGGUUGUUCUGUUCUGGGUGUCCUGGCAAGAGAGCUGGGGGUGGAUGAUGGAAUGUUCUUUGGGAUGAGGUUUUUACCCUGCAUGAUUGUUUUGCCUUUUAUGGCUCAGUGGUGUGUGUUGGUUUGACAUGAGGUGGAUGUUUUUUUUGUGUGUGUGUCACUCAGACCUGGCAUGGGGUUCUGUGUGUGUCUGGCUUGCUUUGACAGUGAUAAUGUUCAUACGGGGGUCUGUGUGAUUGACUUGGGAUAUUGGAAUGGUCAAAUAAAUCAUACCUGAUGGACGGCCACACGUUUACUUGAGGCCUCCAGUAGACAUGAAGAGCACGGAGCAACGCUCCGGAGCGAUAUCCAACACACUGGGCAGGAAGGAGAGUAUCCAAAUCAAGUAUAAAAGGAUGCAAGCGGCGUGUUCAGAUCAGUGACUUCAAACUAGGACUACACCAAUCAGGAUCAAUGGAGGAUGGACACCUAAAGGCAUUCCACGAGGAGUCUGAAGUUGGAAAGGGACCUCGAUGGAUAUUCAAGAUGACCUUCAGACCUGUAAUGAGACGGCUCUUCCUACCUGGCUGGAUUGAUGGAGAGCCCUGUGGAUCUUGUCUUGCUCUCAGUUGCAUGUCUUCUCAGGCUGAACUGUAUUUGUGUCGGACAGGACCAAUCUGGGAACUCCAACUAGUGCGCUCUUCGAGCUGAAGUUGUGCUCUUCAGCUGAGGAGGUAAGGAAACCUUCACUGGGGCUUCAAGAUGUAAAGAGGAGACUGUUUCAAAGUGUUCCAUGGAACUCUGAUGAGGCCGUUGUUGUGUUCCACUGGCUGAGAGGCAGAACCCUCACAUCUUCCUCUUGGCCUUUCUCAUCUGAGAGUCCUGGCGCCGUCUUGAAGGAUAUUCCAGCGCAUGUAACUGAUGUCACGACAGAUUCUCAAACACUUGGUUUCUCCUGAGGGGCUUAUCUAUAGAACUGAAUACUUCAGACAGCACUGUAUCCCAGCAUGCAUCUCUGCUCACUCAGACCACGCCCUAAUGAGUAGGAUGCAACACUCUAGUGAUGGAGAUGUAGAGUUUAUAAGUAACGAGGGAGCAGACAAAGGUGAUUAGAACACAAUGGCAUGUCAAUUCUGUAAAUCUUUAAACCAUGAAGAUGGUUGGAUAGAUCAGGAAUUGGGCUUUAUUUUAAUAUGGGCAAUCCUUUCGCUCAAAUGCCCACUUCUCGCUGGACCUGUACAUGUGUUGGCUGGCUGGCAUGAUUUGCUGUUGGUGAUGAGUAGGUCAGUGUGACGUUGCAGGGCUAUGGUCGGCUCUCUGUGAGCUUAACUUUUAGAUUUGCUCUGUAUGGUUUGUACCAUGAAUAAUCUAGAUAAUUGUAAAAUGUAGACAUGGUUUUGUAUUGAAUGAUUCCAUUGUUUUUAGGCAAGGAUUUGUUGUGGGAUGUACAUGGUAGUUUGGUUCUUCGUACGGUUUUGAUUGAUAUAAUUUGUACACACUGGGUGCAUAAUAAUGUAAAAGUAUACUGAAUAGUAGUAAUUACCAACAGCAACAAACAGAUCUCCUCAAGGUAAGUCUGUUGGCUGUGUUUUAAUGUAGACCAUCGCUGGACUUCAGGAUCUUCCUCCGUUCAGCUCAAGGUGAGGCGCUGGUUCUGUUUUUUCUUUGGUUGGUUCCGGCCGGAAUGUUCGGAUUCCAGUCGGACGGUUUGUGCUUCCCGCCGUGGAAGGUUUUGAGUGCGGUCACUUGAUUUAGUCCCAAUGGUUAGCAUAGAACGUUGUAGUCUUGACACCCAUUAGAAGCCACCUGGCAGUUAGUUGGACAGGAAUCUGUCUGAACGUUCUGGAUUGUAUUUGCGUAACCUUGAGCCGUUGCCAACGGAAACUAUUUUUCAGUUGUUUCCAUUGGGAAUUGUUGGCCCUUAUCUUAAACAACUUAAGUUUGAUAUUAAAUACAUACUGACGCGUACAUCGUACAAUAUGUUGAUAAUUUUCGAUGGUUGCGCUGUACUUUUAUCCACGUUGACGGGACUCUCGCUGCGUACAAAACGGCGUUCUACUUGCGGGCCCAUUUCUGACAUCAGUGAAGGCUGAAAAUCAUUUCACGGUGGAAGACAAUUUGACAUUUCUUCAACGGAAUCCAGCACCUGAAUAUGAAUGGGUAAAUUUGAUUUAAUAUCAAUACUGCUUAGUGUUCUUUGGUACUUCAGCUUUUGUACGUUAAAAUGGUAACAUGUAGUUUGUCCCAAGGUGUCCACCUCCUCACCCAGAGUAAGACCUCCACCGCCUGUCACAAGUCCUCCAGAACAGCUGAAAGGCGAGGCUGAGAGGCUGGGGGCCGGAGGCUUGUGGUGCCAGGAUGGACCUGAGGCUGGGGGCCGGAGGCUUGUGGUGCCAGGAUGGACCUGAGGCUGGAGACCAGGGGCCUGCAGCACCAGAUCAGAGGACCAGGAAUCCAAGGCUGAAGGAGCUGAUGGAGGAGCCAUGCUGAAGGCCCUGCCUGGUGGAGGAGCUGACGGAGGCCCUGCCUGGUGGAGGAUGUCUGUCGUGGGACCAGGACUCUGUCUGAGGAGAGCUGAUGGAGGAGCUGAGACGCUGGAGGACGACUAGGAAUCGACCAACAAGGUUCCUCAAUGUGUUUCUGGAGCGGAGGUGAGCUGGUAGGGGAGCCAUUAAUCUGGAGGAUGACCAUCACUUUACCAACAAGGAUUACGUUGGGGCCAGACUUGCGCUGUUUGUUCCAGAUCAGGACUCUGGCUGAGGAGAGCUGAUGGAGGAGCCAAGACUCUCGAGGACGACAUCACUCCACCAACCAGGAUCCUCACCAGGAAUCUGGAGGACUGACGGAGAAGCCGUACAUCUGGAAGGCAAAUCCUGAGGGCGACCAGGACUCUACCAUCAAGGAUUCCUCACACACCUGAGCUGAACCUCACCUGAUCCUGUCUGGGCGGGGGCAGACACACCUGAGCUGAACCCCACCUGAUCCGGACAUCCUGCUGGUCCUGUCUCCUCAGUUCAUCUGAGCCUCUUCCUCCAGAAGACCUGCUGAGCUCAGCAACCAGGAAUCCAUGGCUGAAGGAGCUGAUGGAGGAGCCAUGCUGAAGGCCCUGCCUGGUGGAGGAGCUGAUGGAGGCCCUGCCUGGUGGAGGAGCUGAUGGAGGCCCUGCCUGGUGGAGGAGCUGAUGGAGGCCCUGCCUGGUGGAGGAUGUCUGUCGUGGGACCAGGACUCUGUCUGAGGAGAGCUGAUGGAGGAGCUGAGACGCUGGAGGACGACUAGGAAUCAACCAGCAAGGAUUCCUCAAUGUGUUUCUGGAGCGGAGGCGAGCUGAUGGGGGAGCCGUGAAUCUGGAGGAUGACCAUCACUCUACCAACAAGGAUUAGACAAAUUACAUUUGUAACCAGACCAGGAAUCUGGAGGACUGACUAAGAAGCCGUACAUCUGGAAAGCAAAUCCUGAGGACGACCAGGACUCUACCAUCAAGGAUUCCCCACACAGCUGAGCUGAACUUCACCUGAUCCUGUUUGGUCGUGGGCAGACACACCUGAGCUGAACCCCACCCGAUCCGGACAUCCUGCUGGUCCUGUCUCCUCAGUUCAUCUGAGCGUCUUCCUCCAGAAGACCUGCUGAGCUCAGCGGUCUGAGGCUGAUGGAUCAAUGACCUCCAGUGGGAGUGAUCUUCUUGACCCCACAUGUACCCGUGUGCUUCCACACGCCUUUCCCUCAAGUCUGUCACUAACCUCACUACUUCACUACUCUCUACUCCUUCCCCUUCUUCUUCCUUCUCCGUGGUUCGAACCGUUACUCUGAAGGAGUGUCUCCUUGAACCUUUACACUGAAGGAGCGUCUUCCUGCCCUCAGAGGGUUCAGCGUUAGGGUUGAGAGUCAGGGUUUAGAGUCAGGGACAGAGCUGGUCAGGGAGGACUGCUUUUACACAAACCUCUUCACUUGCUUUCUGAAUGGUGACAUUUUGAAAAGAUUCAUCUGGGAAAAUGUUUUCCUCUGCUUGCCUUCACAAAAAUAUGUAUUAAACGUCUGUCAAGUGUUUUUGUUUAUACAUUAAAAUCCUACAUUGACUUCU